GAUAGUCUCUUUACUGUGUGUGUGUGUGUGUGUGUGUGUGUGUGUGUGAUACACACACACACACACACACACACACACACACACUUU
rnacentral:miRNA from 1 species